rnacentral:rRNA from 1 species
ACGAACGCUGGCGGCGUGCUUCACACAUGCCAGUCGAACGGUGAAGCGCUUUCCUUUUUGGUUGGUGUGGAUGAGUGGCGAACGGGUGAGUAACACGUGAGUAACCUGCCCCCUUCUUCUGGAUAACCGCAUGAAAGUGUGGCUAAUACGGGAUAUUCUGCGCCUGCUGCAUGGUGGGUGUGGGAAAGAUUGUGCCUUUGGGUGUUUUCGGUGGGGGAUGGGCUCGCGGCCUAUCAGCUUGUUGGUGGGGUGAUGGCCUACCAAGGCGGUGACGGGUAGCCGGCCUGAGAGGGUGGACGGUCACACUGGGACUGAGACACGGCCCAGACUCCUACGGGAGGCAGCAGUGGGGAAUAUUGCACAAUGGGCGCAAGCCUGAUGCAGCGACGCCGCGUGAGGGAGGGAGGCCUUCGGGUUGUGAACCUCUUUCGCCAGUGAAGCAGGCCUGCUCCUUGUGGGUGGGUUGACGGUAGCUGGAUAAGAAGCGCCGGCUAACUACGUG